UACGUAGGGUGCAAGCGUUGUCCGGAUUUAUUGGGCGUAAAGGGCGCGUAGGCGGCUACGCACGUCCGUUGUGAAAUCGCUCGGCUCAACUGGGCGGGGUCAGCGGAUACGGCGUAGCUGGAGCAAGCUAGGGGGCAAUGGAAUUCCCGGUGUAGUGGUGGAAUGCGUAGAUAUCGGGAGGAACACCAGUGGCGAAGGCGGUUGCCUGGAGCUUUGCUGACGCUGAUGCGCGAAAGCGUGGGGAGCGAUCCGG
rnacentral:rRNA from 1 species